UUGAAAUAAACUUUCGUGGCCAAUUUGCUAUUAGCCGACUGUUGCGCAGUAAAGAAGACCGUGGUGUCUAAGAAAUUCACGGACCUCGAAUCCAGUUCAUAUUUCAACUUUAUUGAAGGAUGGUGCGUAUUCAAUAUCUGAAAAAAUUCCUCAAAUUCUUUAAAACUGUAAGGCCAGAUACCAAAAAUAUCAUCCAGAUAUCGGUAGUAGGCCACGGGUAAGAGUGUGCAUUUAGCUAACGCCUCCGCUUCCCAUUCGGCCAUAUAGAUGUCUGCGUAGGCUGGGGCGAAUUUCUUACCCAUGGCCGUUCCCGAUAUCUGUAAAUAAUGUUUGCCAUUAAAAAUGAAAUCAUUUUUUGUAAGGCUGAUAUGCAGAAGCUGAAGCAAAUGUUCGUCUGGUCGCGCAGGAUCCGGAUUUCUACCAAGUACAUUACCCACCGCUUGUAACCCAGCCUCGGUGUCUAUGUUAGUAUAUAGGCUAUCCACAUCUAUUGUAAACAGAUAUGUGUUAGGGGUUACCGUUAUGCUCUUAAUCUUGUGUAGGAAAUCGUACGUGUCCUUGAUGUAACUCGGAUGUCCGUGCGCUAAAGGAUUCAAGUAAUGAUCAAUAUACUGCGCUAUGUUAUAUGAUUCACUCUCACAGUCCGAUACGAUGGGUCGCCCCGGCGGGACCUCCCCAGGGACCGUCCAUGCCUUCGGAUCUUUAUGGAUCUUGGAGUUCCCUAAUGGCUGCUCUCUGUACAGUAGAGAGAUUAUCUGUACGGGCUAUGGAACAGGCAUGGAUGUCCCUCCAGAGGUCCCGCCGGAUAUCCUGGUUGGGGAGAGGAAUAAAGGUUAGGCCUCUCUCCAACACUUCCACCUGUGCCUCGGAGAGCUGAAAGAAGCUGCAGAAGCAUUUUCCGGCAAAGUGAUUUGAUUAUCCUGUUUCUGAACCAGGUCCCCCUCCUCACCGUCCCCCACUCGGACCUCCCAGCAUGCCCCAGAAGUGGCAGGGUGGCCCCAUUGUCAGCUUUACGGCCCACCUGGCCCGGCCUACAGGGUGCUCGACUGAGCUGCAGGCGGCACGCACACGGAGGAAUUCUCAUCAGAGGUAAGUUUCAUUGUUUCUUUUUUCAGGGUUCCUGUUUCACCAUUAUGUGUUGCAGCUAUAGGGCAAGACUGCCUGGGGGUAGCAGGCCUACUAAUGGGGCCCUGUUGGCCCGCAACUACCUGGGCAUAGGUAGGUACAGUCAGAGGCGGAGCAUCCAUAUCAGUCAUCUCAACUGGACUCAUAUGCAUCUGGGGACACAAGGUAGGUGAAGUAGUGCCAGGCGUCCUAGAAUGUGGUGUUGUAGUCUGGGGUGUAAGCAAUUCCAUCACUCUUUCACAGAUCAUUCUAUUAAACUUAUGUUUGUAGCGGGCCUUGGCCCAAACUAUUGCCAUAUUGAAGGCCUCCUGAUCAAAAGGGCCCAAUGACUGAGUGAUUGAGGCAAUCACUCCGUCGUAGUGCAUUUGUAAUAUUGUCAUGUUAGUGUCCAUCCAUCUCAAAGUGUUCUCCUUCACUUUGUUUUUAGUUUGCUCAGAAGGAGAGGAUGGCU